rnacentral:rRNA from 1 species
AGCACAAUUGCAUACUUUGAGGAGCCCAUGGCAAAGGAUCCAGAUUUCUAUUGGAGAAUGAAACUUGAUGAUGAAGACAGGGUGGAAAACGUGUUUUGGAUAGAUGGCGCGUCACGUAGGGCAUACACAAAAUACAACGACAUUGUGUCGUUCGACACAACGUACAUGACUAAUAUGUACAAGAUGUCGUGUGCCCCCUUCAUUGGCAUUAACGACCACGGGCAAUCAAUCCAAUUCGGUUGUGGUUUAAUCAGAAACAAACUGACUGACAACUUUGUGUGGCUGUUUAACACAUUCUUGCAUGCGAUGGGUGGGGUUGCACCAAAGAACAUAAUCACAGGUCAGGACUUUGCCAUGAGGAAUGCUAUUGACGAGGCACUACUAGAAAAAAAGCUGUUAGUGGCGCACCGGUUUUUGUUAUUAAUGGCGCACUAUAGGUGCGCCACUAUUAACACGCCACUAGUAACAAAUAGUAAUGGCGCACCUCUGGUGCGCCAUUAG